rnacentral:rRNA from 1 species
UGGGGAAUUUUGGACAAUGGGCGAAAGCCUGAUCCAGCAAUGCCGCGUGUGUGAAGAAGGCCUUCGGGUUGUAAAGCACUUUUGUCCGGAAAGAAAUCCUUGGCUCUAAUACAGUCGGGGGAUGACGGUACCGGAAGAAUAAGCACCGGCUAACUACGUGCCAGCAGCCGCGGUAAUACGUAGGGUGCAAGCGUUAAUCGGAAUUACUGGGCGUAAAGCGUGCGCAGGCGGUUUGCUAAGACCGAUGUGAAAUCCCCGGGCUCAACCUGGGAACUGCAUUGGUGACUGGCAGGCUAGAGUAUGGCAGAGGGGGGUAGAAUUCCACGUGUAGCAGUGAAAUGCGUAGAGAUGUGGAGGAAUACCGAUGGCGAAGGCAGCCCCCUGGGCCAAUACUGACGCUCAUGCACGAAAGCGUGGGGAGCAAACAGGAUUAGAUACCCUGGUAGUCCACGCCCUAAACGAUGGUCAACUAGUUGUUGGGGAUUCAUUUCCUUAGUAACGUAGCUAACGCGUGAAGUUGACCGCCUGGGGAGUACGGUCG